rnacentral:lncRNA from 1 species
CUAGCCCUUCCGGGGCGCCUCCGGGCCACGGGUUCUAGCGUCCCUGCGGCUGCCCAAAGACUCCGCCUUCCCAGGAGCCCCCGCGGCCCUGCGAAGAUGGCGGCGACAGCGGCCCCACUUUCCUGAAGCGGCUGCGAUGGAACCUCCCCCAGCUCCGGGGCCGGAGCGGCUCUUUGACUCGCACCGGUAAGCGCUGCGGAGGGAAGAGACCGGUCAGCGCGUCCCGUCGGCUUCGGCGCCUGAUCGCGUCGCCUCUCGCCACAGGCUCCCGAGUGACGGCUUCCUGCUGCUCGCGCUAUUGCUCUACGCGCCGGUCGGCCUCUGCCUCCUGGUUCUGCGACUCUUCCUCGGGCUCCACGUCUUCCUGGUCAGCUGUGCUCUUCCUGACAGCGUCCUCCGCAGGUUCGUGGUACGAACCAUGUGUGCGGUACUGGGGCUCGUGGCCCGACAGGAGGACUCCGGACUCCGGGAUCACCGCGUCAGGGUCCUUAUUUCCAACCAUGUAACACCUUUUGACCACAACAUAGUCAACCUUCUCACCACCUGUAGCACCGUGAGUGGGGGGCGAGGCCGAGAGCGCCACCGGGUGGCUCCCUAGGCCCAAGCUCAAGGCUCACCUUUACCCAUUGGGGUUUGCUUGGGGAAUACCGAGCCUUCUCCCUCGAGUCCCAUAAACGCCACCCUAUGUGUUACCUUUUUACUCUUUCUUCUCUUCUUUCUUUAUUUUUGACAUUUCCUUCCAUUCUUUUCUUUUUGCUUUUUCUCCCUGCUCUCAGCCUCUACUCAAUAGUCCCCCCAGCUUUGUAUGUUGGUCUCGGGGCUUCAUGGAGAUGGAUAGGCGGGUGGAGUUGGUGGAGUCACUCAAGAAAUUCUGUGCUUCCACGAGGCUUCCACCCACACCUUUGCUGCUCUUCCCCGAGGAAGAGGCCACCAAUGGCCGAGAAGGGCUCCUGCGUUUCAGUUCGUGGCCAUUUUCUAUCCAGGAUGUGGUACAACCUCUUACCCUACAAGUUCAGAGACCCCUGGUCUCUGUGACGGUGUCAGAUGCCUCCUGGGUCUCAGAACUGCUGUGGUCACUUUUCGUCCCUUUCACGGUGUAUCAAGUAAGGUAUAACUGUCCUCUGUUUUUGGUGGCUGGGAAGAUGCUCACCUCAGGGUCAAGGAAGUAAUGACCUCUACCCUGUGUGUCUGUGGUUUGUUAGUGUCAAGUUUCUAACACAAAAGCCACACUUGUCUCCCAUCUCCUGACUCUCACCUCCACUGUUCCAAGAUAAAUGGGGAAGGUGGCAUGCUUAGCCUGGGGCGCCUUAACAGAGCAGCGCUCUGGUUUUUGUAGGUGGCUUCAUCCCAUUCGUCGACAGCUGGGGGAAGAGAAUGAGGAGUUUGCACUCCGUGUACAACAGGUUGUGGUGAACACGGGCAUGGUGGAGGUGGGGGCCCUCUCCAGGGGAGAAGGGGAAGAAGGCCUGAAGAGGCCACAGUUAAAACCUUCCAAUUCUCCCUAGCUGGUGGCCAAAGAAUUGGGCCAGAUAGGGACACGGCUCACGCCAGCAGACAAAGCAGAACACAUGAAGCGACAGAGACACCCCAGAUUACGCCCCCAGUCAGGUGUGUGGUCUGUGCACAAAGAUGUUUGCGCCACGUGGUGACUUUACUUUCAUACUUAUGCGUGUCUGCCUCUUUCUUAAUAAUCCACUCACCUAAUUUUUUUUUCUUUUAAACAGUGCAGUCUUCUUUUCCUUCUCCUCCCAGCCCUUCUUCUGAUGUGCAACUGACCAUUCUCGCUCAAAGAGUCAAGGAGGUUUUGCCCCAUGUGCCAUUGAAUGUCAUCCAGAGAGACCUGGGUAUGGGGAAGGGUAGCUUCACAGAAUGGUGGACACAGGACAAUGGGUCUCGACAGAGAAGGGGUACAGGGAAUGGACACUCUGCUCCUUUCUUCCCAGCUAGGACUGGGUGUGUAGACUUGACCAUCACCAAUCUGCUUGAGGGGGCUGUGGCUUUCAUGCCUGAAGAUGUCACUGAGGGAUCUCAGUCCCUGCCCACAGCCUCUGCCCCAAAGGUGAGACACAGGAGUAGUGAAGGCCGAGACCUAAGGGCAGGUGGGACAGUCUGUGCUCCCUCUCCCUGACUUCCCUCUUUGAUGUUGAGACCUAGCACAAUGCCUCUCUUGCAAAGUAGGCAUUCGAUGGGUGUUUAAUGAUGAUGACUUCGCAAGCCCUCUGACAUUGUGAUCACCUCAGUUCCCCAGCUCUGGCCUGGUGACCCCUCAGCCCACAGCCCUAACAUUUGCCAAGUCUUCCUGGGCCCGUCAGGAGAGCCUGCAGGAGCGCAAGCAGGCACUGUAUGAAUAUGCAAGAAGGUGAGAGCGUCAGAGGACGAAGUGUAGGAAAGAACAAAUUGGAAAGAGGCCGGAUGGAGCUGAUAUGACAAAGCCUAUACACUCUCUCCCCAUGUCCCACAGGAGAUUCAGAGAGAGACAGGCCCAGGAGGCUGAAUGAGCCCAAAGAAACAGGAUGGUACCCAGAGCCGCAGGACGGAGACUGGGGGCAGCCCUCACCCAGCUAACAACAGGCCGGAUGAGUGGGUGGUAAAAAGGGAGGGAUGGGGCUCCCCCAAUCUCACAUUAAAUUCAGGGUUUUCACUC